UACGUAGGGUGCGAGCGUUGUCCGGAAUUACUGGGCGUAAAGAGCUCGUAGGUGGUUUGUCGCGUUGUUCGUGAAAACUCACAGCUUAACUGUGGGCGUGCGGGCGAUACGGGCAGACUGGAGUACUGCAGGGGAGACUGGAAUUCCUGGUGUAGCGGUGGAAUGCGCAGAUAUCAGGAAGAACACCCGUGGCGAAGGCGGCUCUCUGGAACGCAACUGACGCUGAGACGCGAAAGCGUGGGGAGCAAACAGG
rnacentral:rRNA from 1 species